GACCAAUAUGAUUUUAUUAUCAAACCAAACUAAAAUACACAUACACCCAAAAGUCUAAUCUAAGUUCAAGAGUUCAAGUUCGGAGUUCAGUGCUUUCAAAAUCCAUCUCUUUGCUUGAAUCAAGUUUAGGUUCGCAUAAGUUUUGAGGACGACUCGAUUUGUGGAUUUUUACGUUUUUGCUAAGCUAAGGUAAUCAGGGAUAAAAUGGGGAAUCGGUAAUGAGAGAUUAAUGGAUGUUCAAGAGUAUUUAAAGACUCUUUAUUUUGUUAAGUCAUGUACCUUUAAAUGAACUUAAGACUUAGGGUAUUUUGAGACGUGUAUGUCACCUUGAAUCCUAUCUUAUAUUAAGUGGA